UCAGAUUGAACGCUGGCGGCAGGCUAACACAUGCAAGUCGACGGUAACAGGAAGAAGCUGCUCUUUGCUGACGAGUGGCGGACGGGUGAGUAAUGUCUGGGAAACUGCCUGAUGGAGGGGGAGUAACUACUGGAAACGGUAGCUAAUACCGCAUAACGUCGCAAGACCAAAGAGGGGGACCUUCGGGCCUCUUGCCACCGGAUGUGCCCAGAUGGGAUUAGCUUGUUGGUGGGGUAACGGCUCACCAAGGCGACGAUCCCUAGCUGGUCUGAGAGGAUGACCAGCCACACUGGAACUGAGACACGGUCCAGACUCCUACGGGAGGCAGCAGUGGGGAAUAUUGCACAAUGGGCGCAAGCCUGAUGCAGCCAUGCCCGCGUGUAUGAAGAAGGCCUUCGGGUUGUAAAGUACUUUCAGCGGGGAGGAAGGGAGUAAAGUUAAUACCUUUGCUCAUUGACGUUACCCGCAGAAGAAGCACCGGCUAACUCCGUGCCAGCCGCCGC
rnacentral:rRNA from 1 species